UGCUGCUGUAGGAGUUGAACAUAGAAGUCUUUUUGCUGGUGUAACAAUUCUUUUACUUGUUGAAGGGAAACACUAUCCUCACUUGCCAUUCCUGCUCCUUUAGGCGGCAUGACUGUUUAGAGCUAGCGCGAUGUAGCAGCCCCCUUCAGUCGGCCUCCGUGCAGAGCGUUCUGAGCGAGCGCGUAGUUGAAACGGUGUUACAAGCUCGCACUUAAUCGCCGAUCUCCGAUCGUCUUUCCCUAUACGAAAACAGCUUUACCCGAUCAUCUAUCCAACCUCCAACCGAAUUCCUUAAUCAAAUCCAGCAGUUUAUUCCUUAAAAAAAUAUCGGCAGCGAUCCGGCCGUGCCAAACAGGAAAACAGCGUGACAGGAAAUGACGUUCCUGUAGUCAGUCAUAAUGUUGAGGAGAUGAAGAAGAAGAAAGUAGAUUGGAAGAAAGUUACUGACAUGAUGGCCAGCACAUUCUCUCUACGACGAAAAGAAAUAGUCGAAGAACAACCACUUGUGGCAGAGGUGAAAGCCAAAUGGCCAGCUUUGUUCACUGAUCGACAGAUUGAAGCUGAAUUCACUCGACUUACGUCCAUUGGCUUGUGGGAUUCGUUUGUUUCUGGGCUGGACCAGCAUUUGGCUAGAUUCUUGCAGAUGUACAGGGCCAAGAGUCACUGCAUUUCAGAGCCUCCUGACUAUGCUUGAUUAUGAUAAUUCACUCCAAAAUAAAAGGUCAGUCACGCUUAGAGGCCUUCCACACUUUCUCAGAGAGGAUCCAUCCAAGUUUUUAAAGACUGCUGAGGCUACAGAGAGUGAGGAACGUAUGGGAAAAGGAGUGAAUGUUGGUAUCCUGCUGGUAAAAGAAGGAGAGGACGUCUUUGACUUUUCGGUGGUGCUGGAGGAGCAGAUUGUCCUGAGUAACAUUCAGAAGGUUCUAAUGAACAUUGGUGGUGAACAGUGUUCUGCCAGGGUUCAUGGACUUCGAAACAGACUUCUGUGUGAAACUCUGUAGUUAAGAGUUGAAUAUACUGGAAUAUUUUUCACUGGAUAUAGUGGAUUUAUAAAUUUUUUCUGUGUUUUAUGUAUUGCCAAAAAUUGCACUUGCAAGUGCAAUUAUGUUCAUGGGCAUUUGGUACUAAAUAGGUGUUGCUGUUUUGUUCUUAAAGGGGACUACAUCUAAAGUUCUGCAUGAUUCAAUAGUUCAUAUAUAAAGAGGUAAGUGGUAAGGCCCCAUUGUAGUACUGACUUACAUUUCUUUUCAGUGGUGGUGAGAGAACUCCACGUUUUAUUUGCUAUCCAAAAACACAUGAGUAAAAGCUACACAUCUGGGGUUUUUAUUUUUAAACAAUGUCUUGCACCAUAUCUUUAAAAAAAUCGUAUCACCAAUACACAACAUUACUGUAAUAGCUUUCUGUUGGGUAGUUUUUAGGGGUCAAGUGCUUUAGAUGUAAUUAUUACUGCACUGUGGAUAAUUCUGCCACACUUUCAC